GGGGGAAGCCGGGCUGUGCGCCGGUCGAGCCGGGAGCUGCCUCGUUGUAAGGCCGUAGCUCCCAGGUUGGCACGCACGACAAAAAGAAGUUUAGCGCGUUUGAGGAGCUGAAGUUGCAUGGCGGCGGUAGCUGUGUGUCAGUGCCGUCGGGGGUGCGGGCUGGCACCGCCUGUUAAGGGCUUUGGGGGCGUCCGCUGCACGUCGCCUCUUAGCGGGCGGGUGGAAGCUUUUGGGUACGUCUGCAGGCAGCCCCGAAGCGGAUUAUUGCUGAGGCUGCGCUGUGUCGUAAUCCCGUCUGGAUGGAACGCUUCGGAGGCCGUCGGCAGGUCGGAACAUCUCCGCACGCUCCGGUGCCGCGCUGCCAUCGUCGGUAUUAACAAAUGCCUGCCGUAGUUGUUGUGGUUUUCUGGUGUGACGGCCGAUGGGGUCAGCCCCUGCUCCGUGGUCCCGCUCGGUGGAGAUGGAGGUGGUGUGAGCAACGUGCCCGCAGCGUAGCGCAAAGGAAGGGAAACGUGGGGAGAAAGUGGGUUGGAACCCAUCACCCUCCCCUCUCGUGGGAGUUCUGCUGCGUGACAGUGCUGAGAUCGCCUUACUGCUUCGUGUUCCUUUCUUCUGCCCUCUAGUUGUACUGUGCCAAAGGUAGGCUGUCCUUACACCUGUCUCCUUCUCAAAGCAGAAGGGGAAAAUAAAGAGAAAUAUUGCUCUCAGCAGUCGUCCGGAGGUGGGUUUGGUUCCUAAUUCCAGCUCUGUUUGAGCCGUGAAAGCUUACACUGCUCAGUAACUGUGUCAGUGAGGGUACAGUGUCAGGAGAGAAGGCUUAAGGUAACGUUGCUGCUGAGAAGGGCAGCCCUGUGCACCUCCUUCCCAUCCUCCCGUUACCUCCUUUCAUUGCCUCUGGGUGUGGGUGCCUGCGUGGCUGGCUGGCUCCCUGCUGGCAGCGCUCAGCGCUGGAUGGAAGCACAGUGAGCAGAGGCUGUGUGUAAGAGGGAGCGGCAGGCCCGCCCAGCUGGGCACUGCUCGGAUUCCAGGCUUUACAGCAGCUUCUGAAAGCGUGCCCGAGGCUGCGGUUCCUUGGACAGAAUACCCGUUUCUGAGAGGAACAGCAAAGAAACAUAAGUGCAAAAACUGAUGGACCAUUACAUCUUCUAAAAUGAGCCUAUUCACGCGUUUCUACUGGAAACUAGCAUGUCUUGAAGCAUCACCUGUGGCCUUACUGGAAUUGCCUCAGUGUUUCUGGACCAAAUUCUUUUCUUCCUGAGAGAAGAAUCCAUCACCAAUUUAAUGUAAGUCUUGACUAAAUAUGGACAGUUUGAAUAUGGGCCCAAGUCUCACAAACUGGAUGAUGCUGUCCAGCCAGAGUCCAUCACCAUCCAUCCGUACUUUCUCUGGUAGAGGGAACGUUUCCAGUGCUGGAUGGAUGAGUCAAUUUUUGAGGGAGCUCUUGUGCCCAGCGGGGGCUAAAGCUGUGAAGGGAGGCUGCAUAAACCCUUACAUAGUCCAUUGCUGCUACUGAUGCUGUCUGCAGGGCACUGGUUAUUCCCUUCAGCCAAGGGGAGCCAUCCUAG
rnacentral:lncRNA from 1 species